rfam:Brevundimonas sp. Leaf363 contig_2, whole genome shotgun sequence.
UCAGACGGCCGGGCGGUCGCGGCGGAGCCUGCUUCGUCGAGGAAAGUCCGGGCUCCACGGUGAAAAGGCGGCGGAUAACUUCCGCCCGGGGCGACCCGAGGGAUAGCGCCACAGAAAGCAAACCUCCGACCUCGCGAGGUCGGUAAGGGUGAAAGGGUGGGGUAAGAGCCCACCGCGGACCUGGCGACAGGGACGGCAUGGCAAGCCCCGCCUGGAGCAAGACCGAAUAGGGGCGUCGCGCAGUUUCGGCUGCAGGGCUCACCGCCCGAGGCGCCCGGGUUGGUCGCGAGAACCGGUCAGCAAUGGCCGGUCCAGAGGAAUGAUCGUCGCCGUCCCUCGGGGCGGAACAGAACCCGGCUUACAGGCCGUCUGACGCC